GCUAGCAAGUUCUGUCUGACUAUCACGUGACGAGGUGCUGGUUGCUUGAGACAGAAGUAGCUCGUCACGACAUUGAGCUCCGUUGUGAAUGUAGUACAGUAGKAGCGUCCACUAACAGCAAAGAUGGUGGUGUAUAGUGCUAGAAACUAAAUGUUUGACAGUACACGCUACGUGAGGUGUGACAGUUAGCCAGGUGGAGGAGGUACAGUAGCUAUGUGGGUGUUCGGUUAUGGCUCUCUGAUCUGGAAGGUGGAUUUUCCCUAUGAGGAGAAGCGGAUCGGCUACAUUGAAGGCUUCAGCCGGCGCUUCUGGCAAGGCAGCACCGACCACAGGGGAGUGCCAGGCAAGCCCGGCCGAGUCGUGACUCUGGUGGAGGACCCAGAGGGUUGUGUCUGGGGAGUGGCAUAUAAGCUGCCUUCUGGCCGAGAGCAGGAAGUGAAAUGUUACCUUGACUACCGGGAGAAGGGCGGUUACCGUGUCAUCGCAGUGAACUUUCACCCCCGACCCUCCGUGACCCCCACACGACACACUGACACUCCCGCUGCACCCAGCCAGGCUCUGCUCUACAUCGGUUCUAAUGACAGCCCUGACUACCUUGGCCCCGCCCCGCUGGAGCUGAUAGCCAAUCAGAUUGUAGAUGCAGUCGGACCGAGCGGACGGAACACUGAAUACCUGUUUUCAUUGGCUGAGGCGCUGAGGACCCUCCUCCCUGAAGACUCAGACACACACCUCUUCUCUCUGGAAGACCUGGUUAGAGAGAGACUAACACACACACGUACUACAAGUGUGUCAGUAAACCAUCGCAGGGAUGCUGUAGAUUGUCAGUCAUGUGAUUGUCUCCAGGACCAUUCAGAGCUGGGUCAGGGUUAGGGUUGGGACCGUUCAGAGCUGGGUUAGGGUUGGGACCGUUCAGAGCUGGGUCAGGGUUGGGACCGUUCAGAGCUGGGUCAGGGUUAGGGUUGGAACGUUCAGAGCUGGGUUAGGGUUGGGUUGGGACCGUUCAGAGCUGGGUCAGGGUUGGACCGUUCAGAGCUGGGUCAGGGUUGGGACCGUUCAGAGCUGGGUUAGGGUUGGAACCUUUCAGAGCUGGGUCAGGGUUGGGACCGGUUCAGACUGGGUUUAGG